AGCCCCGCAAUGAGCACAUAGUGAACUAUUCUUAGCCUUUUACUAAAGAAUACCGUGUGCACAUUGCAAAUAGUGGCAUAUGUCAAUUUUCGUAAAUGGUAUCUAAAUACCCUC